AGGUUCAGAAUUUGAAUCUCGCAUGUGAUUGACCAUCAUGGGCGGAGGCGAAGGCGAAGCCGAGGGAAACAUCGACGGUCAAGGGUCCACAAAACACACUGCUUUCCCGAGGUCUCAGUAAAUAAGUGUUUUAUUAUAUAUCAAUAGUCAAUAAAAUGAACGUAAAUACACGAAAUACUUUAUUGUUAAAACAUUAUAUUAGACACUGACUACACUGCAGUUACUUAAAGUGCCUGUAUCACUUGUGGGAUCUUUACGGAUUUGAAAA
rnacentral:lncRNA from 1 species